UACAGGGGGUGCGAGCGUUGUUCGGAAUUACUGGGCGUAAAGCGCGUGUAGGCGGUCUAUUAAGUCAGAUGUGAAAUCCCGGGGCCUAACUCCGGACGUGCAUUUGAAACUGAUAGGCUAGAGUGAUGUAGAGGAUGGCGGAAUACCCAGUGUAGAGGUGAAAUUCGUAGAGAUUGGGUAGAACACCGGUGGCGAAGGCGGCCAUCUGGGCAUUAACUGACGCUGAGACGCGAAAGCGUGGGGAGCAAACAGG
rnacentral:rRNA from 1 species